rnacentral:tmRNA from 1 species
GGGGCUGUUUACUUAUUGGUGUCGACGAUUGCAAAUCCAUUGUUGUUUAGAUUUUCAAAUAAUUAUCUGUAAUUCAAUAAUUUUUAAAAUAAAUCAAGCUGUAUUUGCAUAAAUUUCAGAAAUAAAAAAUUUAAUUUUAUUUGAAUCAUUCAAAUAAUAAAUAGAUUAUGUUACAAUUGUUGUAAUAAGUAAUACUUUGUGAAUAAAAAUUUCGCAUUUCAAUUCACAAAGUUUUAAAGUUAAAAUACCUUUCUUAAAAAGUACACUCGUCGAAAAAAGAAAUCUAAAUUAUUACUGCAGUCGGAUGUAGGUUCAAGUCCUACCAGCUCCA